AGAGUGGACAAGGAUGACAUCGUCUCUCACAUCCUAGCUGGGCUCGAAGAAGAUUUCAACCCGGUGGUUUCUACCAUGUGCUCCCGGGUGGAACCGGUGACCAUGCCCGACUGUACUCACAGCUGCUCAGCUUCAAGA
rnacentral:snoRNA from 1 species